GUCAUCUGUAAAAAUGAGGAGGGCUGCGUUCUAGUCUCUUUUCCAGUUCUACACUGCGUGGAAGGCAGUGGGACGCGAGCACUACAAAUUCCCCACCCCGCCAAAGCCGGUCUAAUUAGUAACUGACAGCCGGUGUCUCGGACCCAUUAGUCCAUCACAGCCUCCUCCUCCCCCAACCAGCGAGCUAGGGGGAGAGACAGAAGAGGGAGGGCCGUAGUGGCAGCCCCGGGGGGCACAUCUGACGGGAAAGCCUAGCAGCCCAGCGACAAAAUCCGAUAAAUAUUUAGACUCAAGUGGGAGGAGAGAAGUGAAAAAGUGUCCAACGGUUUCUGAACACGGCACACACGCAGGAGCCCCUCCUUGCCCAACAACAGUUUCCAUGGCGCCUUCGACUUCCCCUGUGCACGAGACACACGCAGCCCCACCCAGCUUCCCCGGAGGUUUGGACUCCGAGCCGGGAGUUGAGGGGCGCCACGAUCUCCCCCGGCUUCCUCUAACCCCAUGGGGAGAAAGUGGGGGUGGGACCCCCUGGCCUUGCCAAUACUCCCCCCUCCCCCACGCAGAUGAUCUAAGAGUUUCUCAUUUCAUUUCAACCUCAAACCUGAACUCCAGACUGACCUGAAUCAUCUUUUCCCAAAAAUAAAGAAAAAAGAGAAAAAGAACAGUUCAGCAAAAUUAACCUACAAUGCAACCAAGUCUGACAGUAUAUGCAAUGUUCCACACUUAUAGACCUACUUCUCCGAUGAAGGUCAUUGGCCUCCUUGCACAAAUAACUCAAAACAAUCUGCCUCCAAGAAGCUUUCCCUGACGAAAAGUCCCAUUUUACUGUUAAGAACUUUGCAUGCUCUUCAACUUAGAUUUAUUGCAUUAAAAAAAACAAAACAAAACAUCCUUACCUUUCAUCUUAGAAUCAAUAUUAUGUUUUGGUUCCAAGGCAGAAGAAUAGUAAGGGCUAGACAAAGGGGGUUAAGUGACU